UACAGAGGGUGCGAGCGUUAAUCGGAAUUACUGGGCGUAAAGCGCACGUAGGCGGCUUGGUAUGUCGGGUGUGAAAUCCCCGGGCUCAACCUGGGAACUGCAUCCGAAACUGCCUUGCUAGAGUAUGGGAUAGGGAAGUGGAAUUUCCGGUGUAGCGGUGAAAUGCGUAGAUAUCGGAAGGAACAUCAGUGGCGAAGGCGACUUCCUGGACCAAUACUGACGCUCAGGUGCGAAAGCGUGGGGAGCAAACAGG
rnacentral:rRNA from 1 species